AAAUUGAAGAGUUUGAUCAUGGCUCAGAUUGAACGCUGGCGGCAGGCCUAACACAUGCAAGUCGAACGGUAGCACAGAGAGCUUGCUCUCGGGUGACGAGUGGCGGACGGGUGAGUAAUGUCUGGGAAACUGCCCGA
rnacentral:rRNA from 1 species